AGCGAACGUUAGCGGCGGGCCUAACACAUGCAAGUCGAACGCGAAAGGUCUUCGGACUGAUUAGAGUGGCGCACGGGUGAGUAACACGUAGGUAAUCUACCCUUUGGCGGGGGAUAACGUUCCGAAAGGAGCGCUAAUACCGCAUAAGACCACGGAGUCUCCGGACGCUGUGGGAAAAGGUGGCCUCUUCUUGAAAGCUAUCACCGGAGGAUGAGCCUGCGUCCCAUCAGCUAGUGUAAGUAUGGCUUACCAAGGCAAAGACGGGUAGCUGGUUUGAGAGAAUGAUCAGCCACACUGGCACUGGAACACGGGCCAGACU
rnacentral:rRNA from 1 species